rnacentral:rRNA from 1 species
AACCUUACCUACCCUUGACAUGUACGGAAUCCUGCUGAGAGGUGGGAGUGCUCGAAAGAGAACCGUAACACAGGUGCUGCAUGGCUGUCGUCAGCUCGUGUCGUGAGAUGUUGGGUUAAGUCCCGCAACGAGCGCAACCCUUGUCCUUAGUUGCUACGCAAGAGCACUCUAGGGAGACUGCCGGUGACAAACCGGAGGAAGGUGGGGAUGACGUCAAGUCCUCAUGGCCCUUAUGGGUAGGGCUUCACACGUCAUACAAUGGUCGGUACAGAGGGCUGCCAAACCGCGAGGUGGAGCUAACCCCAGAAAACCGUUCUUAGUCCGGAUCGCAGUCUGCAACUCGACUGCGUGAAGCUGGAAUCGCUAGUAAUCGCGUAUCA